rnacentral:lncRNA from 1 species
UAUAUACACACAUAAACACGAAGUAGCUUUCUGUUGGGCUUAAGGAUAUAACUUAAGCUAUUUUUCAGGCUUAGAGUUUUGGGAACCAUCAAUCUUAAAAUAUCAUUGUCCAUCUUUCAGAUUUAACAUAAAGAAAUUAGAUUAGAAACAACUAUGUCUGGGGCAGAGUCAGCAAACCUCAGACCUAUGAUUGGCUCUGAGCAUCAUGGUUGUGGCUGACUGUGUGACUCGCACCAGAACUCUACCCCAGAUUCCAUGCAGGUCUCUUGAGUCCCUAAGGUACCUGCGAGUAGGAUUCAGAGGAAGUGGGGACCACAGAUUUGUAUUUAACCUUGCUGUCUUUAUAGAUGUUGCCUUAACUCUAUUUUUGUGAAGAUAUUAAAAAUGUAAGUUAGAAAAAUACUAUCAUUUUUCUAAUUAGGAAAACCAAACAUUUAGAAUCUACUAGAAUAUACUGGAUUCACUGUUAACAAAUGAUAAUUCCAUUCUACUGUUAACAUGAUUUGUAUGUAAGAGAAUGGGGGCCUGUUAAUCAGAAGUUACAGAGGGA